UAACAGGGGUAACAUGGGUAGCAGGGGUAACAUGGGUAGCAGGGGUAACAUGGGUAACAUGGGUAACAGGGGUAACAUGGGUAACAGGGGUAACAUGGGUAACAUGGGUAACAUGGGUAGCAGGGGUAACAUGGGUAACAUGGGUAACAGGGGUAACAUGGGUAACAGGGGUAACAUGGGUAACAAGGGUAGCAGGGGUAACAUGGGUAACAGGGGUAACAGGGGUAACAGGGGUGACAUGGGUAACAGGGGUAACAGGGGUAACAGGGGUGACAUGGGUAACAUGGGUAACAUGGGUAACAGGGGUAACAUGGGUAACAGGGGUAACAGGGGUAACAGGGGUGACAUGGGUAACAUGGGUAACAUGGGUAGCAGGGGUGACAUGGGUAACAUGGGUAACAUGGGUAACAGGGGUAAGAUGGGUGACAUGGGUAUCAGAGGUAGCCAACUCCUCUGACUAUCAGCCCAGGACUAAUAUACUGUGCCAGAUUUGUAUCGUGAAUGUUGUGAUCCUGAGGCCGUCCUGAUAUGGACCCUGUACAUCAAAGGCAUGACAGACAGUUCUCGUCAGAGGUGUUGGUUGAAUCACUGCAGAUCUGGGACCAGGCUACGAUAUCUGGCCAGUCCUUCAGCAGAGUCCAGUUCCCUGGUCCUCCAGUAAAGAGGGGGGAAAACUGUGGGGAGGAAGACUAAACCGGGCUACAGUGCUAUUAUGAAAUACUUUGGUGAUAUAUUUAGGUAGUUUUUUUGGCUCAUAGAUCUACGUCUAGUGAAUAAUUGAUAAGCUGAAUGGUCUAUUUUAGGGUUGUAAUACAAGUCAACCUGACUCCACACUAUAGGUCCGUGAUGCAACACUAAUGUCACAGCUAUAUUGGCUGGGUCCAAAAUGGCACCCUAUUCCCUGCACAGUGCACUAAUUUUGACCAGAGCCCUAUAGACCCCAGAGCCCUAUGUAGUGCACUACAUUUGACCAGAGCCCUAUAGACCCCAAAGCCCUAUGGACCCUAGAGCCCUAUGUAGUGCGCUACAUUUGACCAGAGCCCUAUAGACCCCAGAGCCCUAUGUAGUGCACUACAUUUGACCAGAGCCUCAUGGGUCCCGGUCAAAAUUAGUAUACUUUGAAGGGAACAGGAUUCCAGUUGGGACCCACACCUUCUUAGCCUGCUAUUGGUGGUUCUUACUGUAUUAAGGUCUGCUAUUGGUGGUUCUUACUGUAUUAAGGUCUGCUAUUGGUGGUUCUUACUGUAUUAAGGUCUGCUAUUGGUGGUUCUUACUGUAUUAAGGCCUGCUAUUGGUGGUUCUUAUUGUAUUAAGGCCUGCUAUUGGUGGUUCUUAAUGUAUUAAGGUCUGCUAUUGGUGGUUCUUACUGUAUUAAGUCCUGCUAUUGGUGGUUCUUACUGUAUUAAGGUCUGCUAUUGGUGGUUCUUACUGUAUUAAGGUCUGCUAUUGGUGGUUCUUACUGAUAAGAGCAGGAUGUUUUUUUUUAAAGUAAAACAGACACUCUCUUAACAUCGACACUUUCAUUUCUUGUUUCAAAUAACUAAUUUUAGGGCUCUAUUCAAUCUGCAUCGCUGAACAGAUUGCACAUAGAAAUGUAGAGGUAAUUCCUGAUCGAAUGCAACGUUUCUGGUUGAAUGCAUUCUCCCCUAAACGUGGGAACGUUGCCUUUAAAUGUCAAUCACGCUGUAACGUUUAAUCUCCGAGAUACAGAUUGAAUAGAGCCAUUAGAUUACACUCUGUAAUCAUUAUCAAUUCAAACAAAUAAAGUUUAGCUGAAAUGCUGAUAUAGAUUUGUUUUAUAUACCAUCGUUUAUAAGUGGGAAAAUUAAAUAAAUACAGUAUAAUGUAUGUGUCCAUCAAAAAUGGUUAAACAAUGUGUUCAUUUAAGUGUUCAGCGCUAAAUAAUUGGAAAACCAAUCUCUCGAUAGACAUGACAUUUCUGUAGACAUCUUUAAUUUGCAUGUGAUUCAUUUGCUGUGUACUAUACAUAUAUAACAUGGAAUAAAGAUCCAGUCUAUAAUCAAAAGGACAUGAUGACACUGAACAGUAGCUGUCAACAGCUCAAUACAGGUGUAGAAUCUUAAUUUAAGCCAGUUUGAUAAACGUGAAUUAUGAUAAAUAUAAUUAAUUGUAAUUUUUUUUGGUAGGGUUUGAUACAAUCAAGUCCACAGGAACAAUCAAGUCUAACAUGUCAAAGUUUUACAUGUCCUGCAAUGCAGGAAAGAUCUCCUGCAACAGGUUGAUCAAAUUAAAAUUCUACAUCUGUAGUUUUAAAUGUCACUAAAUCAUGGGCCUAAUGCCACACCAGAGUAUGGGAUCAAUCCUGUAGAAAAUAAAUAUAAUUACCAAAGAUAAAAUAA